UACGGGAGGCAGCAGUGGGGAAUAUUGGACAAUGGGCGCAAGCCUGAUCCAGCCAUGCCGCGUGAGUGAUGACGGCCUUAGGGUUGUAAAGCUCUUUCGCUCGGGACGAUAAUGACGGUACCGAGAUAAGAAGCCCCGGCUAACUUCGUGCCAGCAGCCGCGGUAAUACGAAGGGGGCUAGCGUUGUUCGGAAUUACUGGGCGUAAAGCGCGUGUAGGCGGGUCUUUAAGUCAGGGGUGAAAUGCCAAGGCUCACCUUGGAACUGCCUUUUGAUACUGGAGAUCUUGAGUCCGGAAGAGGUGAGUGGAAUUGCGAGUGUAGAGGUGAAAUUCGUAGAUAUUCGCAAGAACACCAGUGGCGAAGGCGGCUCACUGGUCCGGAACUGACGCUGAGACGCGAAAGCGUGGGGAGCAAACAGGGAUUAGAUACC
rnacentral:rRNA from 1 species